rnacentral:rRNA from 1 species
GACGAACGCUGGCGGCGUGCUUAACACAUGCAAGUCGAACGGAAAGGCCCUGCUUUUGUGGGGUGCUCGAGUGGCGAACGGGUGAGUAACACGUGAGUAACCUGCCCUUGACUUUGGGAUAACUUCAGGAAACUGGGGCUAAUACCGGAUAGGAGCUCCUGCUGCAUGGUGGGGGUUGGAAAGUUUCGGCGGUUGGGGAUGGACUCGCGGCUUAUCAGCUUGUUGGUGGGGUAGUGGCUUACCAAGGCUUUGACGGGUAGCCGGCCUGAGAGGGUGACCGGCCACAUUGGGACUGAGAUACGGCCCAGACUCCUACGGGAGGCAGCGGUGGGGAAUAUCGCACAAUGGGCGGAAGCCUGAUGCAGCAACGCCGCGUGCGGGAUGACGGCCUUCGGGUUGUAAACCGCUUUCGCCUGUGACGAAGCGUGAGUGACGGUAAUGGGUAAAGAAGCACCGGCUAACUACGUG